CAGCGACCCCAGGUCAGGCGGGAUUACCCGCUGAGUUUAA
rnacentral:rRNA from 1 species